rnacentral:rRNA from 1 species
UGAGGAAUAUUGGUCAAUGGGGCGGGGAGCCUGAACCAGCCAAGUCGCGUGAGGGAGGAAGGUCCUACGGAUUGUAAACCUCUUUAGCCGGGGAGCAACGUGCGCCACGCGUGGCGCAGUGAGAGUACCCGGAGAAUAAGCAUCGGCUAACUCCGUGCCAGCAGCCGCGGUAAUACGGAGGAUGCGAGCGUUAUCCGGAUUUAUUGGGUUUAAAGGGUGCGUAGGCUGUAAGUCAAGUCAGCGGUGAAAAGUACGGGGCGUAAACCUUGAGGGUGCCGUUGAAACUGAUUUACUAGAAUGUGGAUGAUGCCGGCGGAAUGUGUCAAGUAGCGGUGAAAUGCAUAGAUAUGACACAGAAGGCCGAUUGCGAAGGCAGCUGGCAAAGGCACGAUUGACGCUGAGGCACGAAAGUGCGGGGAU